CAUGACAACAAACUGCUA
rnacentral:tRNA from 1 species